GGAGCAGUUGGCAGGCCCAUAAAGAAAUUAUCAAAUUAUCAUAAAACAGUUAUGGCAAAAAAUGGUUGUGAAUGGGCAUAAAGGACAUUUGCAAGGUCAUUCCUAUUUAUCUCACAGUCCACUUCCAGCGCACAAGGAUUUCACUAUUUGCAACAGCUAGGAAACAGUAUUUUCAGACAUUAUUCUCUAACUUAGGCACUCUCAAUAAAGAAAGCUAAAGUAAUAAAAUAAGAUAAAAUUUCCUGUUAGGAACAGCUGCUUUUAAAAAUAAAUAAAUAAAUAAAAAUUCUGCAGGUCUUGUGGGUUUUGAGUAGAAGAGUGAGAACAAAUCUGAUAUUUAAUGCUGAAUUUGCUGCAUGUUGAACAUCAAAUAGACUAUAAUGGUAGUCUAUUUAUUUGGACUCUAAACAUAGAAUGAGACUGAAAGAACAUAGAUUCCUCAAUCCUCAAUGUGUUUUUCUGAAAAGGAAAGGGAUGGAGAGCAAAUGGGAAUCCCAGAGAUAGUUUCCAAGAAAUUUGAAGUACAGUUGAUUUUAAAUACUUCAGGAGUAAGUUGGAUGUAACUUUCUCUUUCAAAGGUGAUGUAGGUAUGCUUUUUUGACACUUAACAGCUAGUGUGAAUGGGCAGUGCAUCAAUCAUCAGUCAUGAGCAGGUGUGUGGUCUGCUACAGGUUGGUAGCUGAGCCUGCAGUACUGCCACAGGAGUGGAAGCUGAGAGACUGGGGUGUGUUUUGUUUGCUGCCCAGUAUCAUUCUUGUUCCUAGGAAACAAUGCCAACCUCAGUGAAUCUUUCAUCAGUAAUUUCUUCAAUCAAGCAGCCUAAGCGAUCUGUAAAUAUAGAUUGAAGAUAAUCACCUAAGCUAUCAUUAAAAGAUUCAUCUCAAUCAGCAGAGCCUGCUAGCUGAUUGUCACCUGAAGCCUUGCAAUUAACACAACUAGUAUUUUUGACAGAAUAGCUGAGUGUGGCUUGAUUAAUGGUGCUAUCUCAGGAAUUGCCUUUUCCAGUAUUUAUUACCAUCAGAGCUGUCAGUCCUGCAUACUGCAUUAUUUUGAAAAGACUUAACAAUAGAUACAGUUGAAAAGAAAUAUUAUAAGAUGGGCUUUAGCUGGCCUUUGGAGAUUUAAGUAACAAUUCAAGUACUUGAAUUUCUUCAUGCGUUUCAUAUAUUGAUUAUAAUAAUAAAUCAAAAAUAAAGUUAAUCCCCCUUGUGCAAUCAGAGGCUUUAAACUGAAUUUAAAACAAAUGUAUGUUAGGUAAAACUCCAAACUACAUUGUGUAGAAAAAUGAGGAAAAAAAAAAAAAGAGUCAUUCAUUUUGAGUUGCAGCAGUACCUGAUACAUUUUUUACACUUAUUACAUUUGAACUACCAUCACACAGAGCUGGGACUUGCUAAAUAAAGUUUUGAGUCUACAGUUGGUAAUCUAACUGCUCCUUUUCAAUAUCUCCUUUUGUGUUUGCACUACAGUUUCAGGGAUUUUUGUUUUAUUUUUUCCUCUGCCUGAAUUCCACCUUCUGUUUCAUCCCAUAAUUACUUAGAGUUCUGUAAAUGCUAAUAUACUAUCCCAAUGCCACUGCAUUUCAGUGUCCUUAUAAUUACUGUCCUAGUUUAUUAAAACAAGUAAAAAUUAACAAAAUAUAAAUAGCUGUAGUAUUUGUAUACCUGAAUGGUUUUGUGGCAAGAGUAUAAAUUUUUUUAUGCUUGUGAUUCUUUUUGCUUUGCUGUGUAGGAACAAGCAAGGCUUGAAGUAAAGCUUUACAGCCCAACUCUGCAGUGGGAGUCAUUACAUAGAUCUUUGUCAGUAUUGGUCCCUGUGGGAAUCCAAGCUCCUUUAGUAGCCAGCAUCAGGGUUACGUGCUUGAUACAUUCAUACUAAUACAUAGUUCUAUACUAAUACAUUCCGUUAUUAUCAUUGUUAUUUUAUUUUAAGAGGAAAACUUUUUUGGUAUGAUUAUGUACUCCUUUUGACUUCUAAUUCCUUGUCAGUAGUACUAUAUAUUUGGCAAAGAUACAAAAGUUUUGUUUUGUAAGUUUCUAAGGUAAUUUUCUGAAACCUCUUAUUAUUGUGAAUUGCCUGUAUUUUUUGUUGCUGCUGCCCUUAGUGUCUGACACUGGAUUAACCUACUUAAAGUUUUCCUGAGGAAUUUCUGAAAAUUCUUCAUUUUUUCAAUUAAAAAAAAAUCAUUUUUUUGUUAAAGCAAACUUUCAAGCAGCUGUAACUAUAAAUAUUUCUAUUCUGGUCUACUUAGAUUCAGGUAAUCUUUUUAAGAAGAACAUUUGCUGAAAAUCUGCUUUAUAUAAAGGUUAUUUUGUAUUUGUAAAAACCUUGUCUUACUGUACUAUUUUAGACUGAAUAAAAAUAAGCACAUCCUAUUUUUCUAGUGAAGAAAUGAAGUGUAAUGUGAGACAUCAGCCAUCUUUCUAGGGGAAGAUGGGAAGUGUUGCACUACUAGGUAGUGAGUGAGCUUUGGAAAGGAGCUGAGAAGUGGCAAAUACAGUACAAAUAACAUGAGCUACCAGAGAAAGCAAAGGGUAAACUACAUAUUCUGUCUAUGUGAUAAUAUAAAGAAAAAUGAUAAAGUUCAUUUUUUCUCAUUUUUCUUUGCACAAAUGGAUUUUAAUCACGUUUGUAUUUUUCAUUAUUGAAGGCCUUUUUUACUUUUAUGCUGUUCAUCUACUAAGCCCAGUAUUUGCUUAAACACCAUUUCUCAGUUGCAAUCAAAUUACACUCCUACCAUCAAGACGACUUCAUGUAGAAGUACAACCCACAAUCUUUGCCCUGAGAGUGGAACUUCUGCUAAACUGUUGUUUUGUUUUUUUUCUUUACCUCCACAGACUCUGCAAUGCUGAGUUUGCAUUUUAUAUUUUAAACUGGCUCUUAAGAUGUGAUUCAGAUUUAAAUUUGAAAUUUAGUUUUAACUUUCCAUUUAUACUUUGUAAGUUCAGUGUUUUUUCUAAAGACACUACAAAACUUUCAUUUGUAUAUUAUCCUGAAGUUCUAGAGCAUUUUUAGAUUGUGCUUAAAUUUUAAUCCCAUUUGUUUAUUUUGAUUAAAACUGAUAUAAAAAUAUUUGUACCCUGAGAAAUAACGUCUAAAUGAUUUUCAUCAGAGUUUAUACAUUGUUUUUUUUUUCUCUAGUUCUUGAUUAACAUUGCAUUAGGUUUUACAGGUUUGAAUAUUAUUUUAGACCAAUAUUCCCUUCUACAACAGAGCCACUUACCAGAAGCACCUUACAAAUGCUACCUAAUUAGGUUAGGGGUACUAAAUGUAGUUAUCCCUCUGUGGUGCUGUAUUUUGUUUUCUGGAUAAAGCUCAGAGCACGUUUCUCAGAUUUCCCUGUUUCAAGUGUUCUUUCUCCUUUUACACACUACAGUAUUGUGGCAUCUAACAAACUGUGUUUGUUUUUUUUUUUUUAAUGUUAAAUUAUUGCUGUCACUAUCCUUAUUAUCAAGUAUUUCCUGAACCAGAGAGAGGUUAUAUUUGAAGGAAACAGCCACAAAGAAUUUCUAGGUUCAGUGCAUGUGGAGGAAAAUUAGUAGACAUAAAACUGCUUAAGCUGUUUAAAAGAGCAUAAUAGAUCUACCUGGUUUCUGUAGAAGGGUAGGCUGGGUGAGCACUGUUAAUUCCUUCUAGGUCUAAAGACAUAUGAAUACAUUCUUUUAAGUGGCAUUGGAUUUUGUUAAAGAGCAAUAUAUAAAAAUGGAUUUUGUUGUUGUUUGCAGGAAAAUUACUAUUCCUCCAACCUGACUGUGUUCCUAGAUCCUAUGGUUGCAAUAUGGGGGUGGCUUUUACUCAAGCUGCAGCCUAGUGCAGGAUGUAUAUGUAGUUUUCUUCAAAAAUCUGCAUUUGCUCUGCAUAAACUACAAACGGAAUACAAAUGAGUUCUUACCUGAAGAUGAGGCUCAAGCUGCUAUGCUGGUUGCAUGCAACACAAGUCAUUAAAAUGGGAGCUGUUUUUAAAAAUUAACCCACGACCAGGGAAAACCAAACAAAACUAACAACAAAACAGAAAUGAUUAGGAAAACUAUACAUACUUAAGACAUCCUGAGGAACUGAUAACUAAAACAUCAGCAUCAAGGGAUA